GACCUGAUAGCACAGUUGGUUAGUGCGUCUGUUGAUAAUGAAUGAACCCAUUGGUGAUAAUUAAGCAGAAGACCCUCGUUCGAUUCUGGGUCAGGUCA